AGUAUGUAUGCAGAAAUGUUCUUUUAUCUUAACAUUUUAGAUUGGUGACAACACUAUUGAAGAAUGUUUUUAAGCCUAAGAUUUCUUAAAUACCUUUC